GAAGAGAGAGAGAGCGAACGACCGAAUAGGCUUUUAGUUUUAGCAGCAAAUACUUCAUACGUAAAUUUCUAACUGAUGAAAAAUAUAAAAUAAAUGCAAUAGCUUUCAUUUUUAAUUACGAGAUCGAAAUUUAAUUAGCGAAGAAGCCGCACGUUGUGGAUUUCGGAACAUGAACAUGGCGUCGCGAAUGUUAUCAUGUGCAGCAACCAUGGUCACUCCCCCCAAGCUCAAUGGCAUGCCUGAAACGUCUACGACUUGUUACCCUUCACUACUACUACUGUCUUCAUCUUCACCUUCAAUGGCAGCAGCUAAGGUUACGGUUCGAAUUGGGUCGGUAAAGUGCAAGGCUCUGGGAGAGAGCUCUCAGAAUUCCGUCGAUCGAACGGUCUAUCAGGGAAUUUACGGCCCUUGGACCGUCGAUUCCUCCGAUGUUCGAGAGGUUGUUUUAUACAGAGCGGGAUUGGUGACUGCCGCCUCGUCAUUUGUUGUUGCUGCAUCAACUGCCCUUUUACCUGAAAACUCUUUGUUAAGUGAUAUUAUCAAGCAAAAUCUUGAUCUAUUUUACACAAUUGGUGCUGGUGGGUUGGGCUUGUCUUUAUUUUUAAUUCACAUCUAUGUUACUGAGAUUAAGCGCACUCUUCAAGCACUGUGGGGACUUGGUGUUGUUGGAUCUUUGGCAACUUACACGAGCCUUGCUCUACCAGCUGGUGAAAACUUGGUACAAUAUGUAGUCGAUCACCCAUUGGCAGUCUGGUUUGUUGGUCCUCUCUUUGCAGCACUAACAGGACUUGUAUUCAAAGAAGGCCUCUGCUAUGGAAAGCUGGAAGCUGGAAUUCUCACAUUCAUUAUACCUACAGUUCUUCUUGGGCACCUGACUGGUUUGAUGGAUGAUGGAGUAAAGCUUACUCUGCUAGGUUCGUGGAUGGUCCUUUUUGUGAUAUUUGCCGGAAGGAAGUUUACUCAACCAAUUAAGGACGACAUUGGUGACAAAUCUGUUUUCGUGUUCAAUUCUCUUCCUGAAGACAAGAAGAAAAACUUGCUUGAGAAACUUGAGCAACAAAAAGUCCAGUCAGAAUCUUGAGUAGGAAGAGAUGUGAGCCAAAACAAACCUUAAUUGGACAGGAAAUUACAUGAACUGGACUGCAGAGAGGUUUUUGAGUUGCCAUUUCAGGAUCAACACCAUUUUGGCCAUCAGCAGCAUCAGGCUUCUCAGGGAAUGUUCUUCCCUUCUUUUCACCAGGAAUUAAUUUACAUUCGCCACCACUUCGCUUUGCAAUUUUCAGCACAUCCAUUUUCCCGACCUCGCUUGCAGCCUGAGCUUUCGAAAUGUCGGCUUUUGCUUCCUCCAGAUUUGCAUUAUUCACAUCACGAAUUCCCAUUUCAUCAGCAACUCCAUCCAGCUUCUCAUGGGUGACAUCAGUAUCUUCACUUGACUCAGUACUUUCACCCUCCUCAAUUCUGCAUUUUAAUGACUCUAUAACCUCCAUCAGUUCUCUGUUAACCUGUGACAGAAACUCAGAUGUUAGCAGUAAAAAUUCUGCCACUCUUUUAA